AUGCUGGCUUCGGCAGCACAGAUACUAAAACUGGAACGAUACAGAGAAGAGUAGCAUGGCCCCUGCUCAAGGAUGACAUGCAAAUUCAUGAAGUGUUCCAUAUUUCU
ensembl:snRNA U6 U6 spliceosomal RNA